AAACCCCAGAGACCGCCUGUCCCCGCCCUGAGCCACCGUCUGCCAUCGCUGGAAAUCGCCUACGGCGGCGGCGAGACUCCAAACCACCCCAAAUUUACAUCGUAGCUUCCUCUUCGCCUCCACAUCCCCAAUCCUUAACCAUCUUCCGUCAAAUAUACUCAAAAUCCCUCGAAUUUGAGUUUGAAGUCGCGAACCCUAUCGCCGCCCUCAUUCCCUCCGGCGGCGGCCGGCCACCAAACGACCCUAGAUUGACACCACAGACCCACCAUGACACCCUUUCUCCAAAUACCCAACUCAUUACCCUCGAAUCUCCUCGGAACUGCUCGAAUCUCGGAUCGAAGUGUCUCAGAGUCAAUCCUGUUCGAAGUUUUGCGCCCAAAUCGAUCUUAUUCGUGUAUUUUUGAUAAAAAGCACAUGAUUAAUUUCGAUUUGGGCCAGGAAUCAAAGAGUCGGAGGCUCAGGGGUAUUUUCCGGAUUUCUUCACCAAAGUUCAGGGUAUUUUUCAGCUCUAUGGGUGUCACUUGAAGUGUAAAUUGAAGCAGAAAUUGGAAAACAUGAAAUGGAAAUGUGAUUGUUUGUUUGGAUUCUAUUUUGUUCUUCUUUCAAUUUUAUGACUAGAUUAUAAUAGAUUGGCAUAAGUUGUUCCUGUGACUGUAAUACAGUGCUUGAAAUCAGUGUUGGGAUCAUUGUUUUGUGUGUUGUAUCUUCAAGUGUCCCUUCGAAUUUUAGUCUGUAUUGGUUAAUAAAUCAGUUGUAUGUUUUCUUUUGGUUUGUGUGAGUUAGUCUUAUGGCUUGGUAGGGACUCUAUCAUUUUAAAUUGUCAGUUUGGUAACCGGACGUUUGAAUAGAUUAUAUUAAGCAUGUGAUAAAA